rnacentral:rRNA from 1 species
UGGGGAAUAUUGGACAAUGGGCGAAAGCCUGAUCCAGCCAUGCCGCGUGUGUGAAGAAGGUCUUCGGAUUGUAAAGCACUUUAAGUUGGGAGGAAGGGCAGUAAGCGAAUACCUUGCUGUUUUGACGUUACCGACAGAAUAAGCACCGGCUAACUCUGUGCCAGCAGCCGCGGUAAUACAGAGGGUGCAAACGUUAAUCGGAAUUACUGGGCGUAAAGCGCGCGUAGGUGGUUCGUUAAGUUGAAUGUGAAAGCCCCGGGAUAAACCUGGAAACUGCAUCCAAAACUGGCGAGCUAGAGUAGAGCAGAGGGUGGUGGAAUUUACUGUGUAGCGGUGAAAUGCGUAGAUAUAGGAAGGAACACCAGUGGCGAAGGCGACCACCUGGGCUCAUACUGACACUGAGGUGCGAAAGCGUGGGGAGCAAACAGG